UCGGCUUGUCGGCCAGGGCCCCGGCCGCGCCGCCUGCGAGGUGGUGCUCCGGUCCUGGGUUCCGGGGCGGGGAGCUGGCC
rnacentral:tRNA from 1 species